GGUGAACAUCCCACGCCGACCACAUGGCAAAUGUGUUUAACUCUCCUUAUUUCCCAUGACUGUCUCUGUGGCUGGCCCCACAUCCAUGGCAGAGAUACUUGAUCAUCUUAGCCAAGCCACUAUUUUCCCAUAGGAAAUUAUAGUGAGGUCAUUGCACAAAAUGCUGAACCAAACCAAUUAGUAUCUCCUCAUUGAAAUUCAUCACCACAGGGAACAUUCAGCACCUCCAGUGGCUGAGUGACUCACUAGAUCUGUUACUAGGAUGCAAUGUAAACAUUGUUCUCUAAAAAUGCAGUGUUUACAUUGAAAAAAACAAAACAAAAAUCUACAGGGACUGGUUCAGUGGCAAGACUAAAAUAGAGGGCACUGGUGCUAUACUUUUGGUCUCUC